UAAAUGUGUGUUGAUUGUAACAUGUAGUAUGGUGUGGAUUGGGUUAUGUUAUUUUAUUUGUAUACAUGUAGUUUAUUAUUGUUUUUUUUAGACUACUACAGAAAAUGAGACAGCAACCAAUACAACACCGUGGAUAGUGGCAACCGUCACCACUUUAAUAGGUUGCUUAAAAGUUUAUAUAAUUUUUCUUGGAGUAAUUUUGUUUCUUUUAAUUGUCUCAUUUUUGUUUUCUUAAUAAAAAAGUAUUACUAUCAAUCAGACUUCAUUCCAGUUAUGUUAUCAAUAGAUGAUUCUUUAAAUGUUGAAAUGGACACCAUGACUAGUUAAAUUAUUUCUUUUCUUGUAGUACUUCUGGUGAUAGCAUUCGUUAUUUUGAGGAAGAAAUGUUUGAGGAAUAGUAGGGGAGGGUUAAUUGAUCACGGUCUUCCUCUGCAGGAGAUUCCUUCUGCCCCUAAAUAUAAGUACUAUUAGGAUAUUUUUUUUUUUUAUUAAUUUAAAUUGAAAUUUCAAUAUCACUGCUUUUAACUCUUUUUUUUUACUUACAGUGAUAUUCUUUCUAAUUAGUGGAUUUAUUGUUUGGAGGAAAAGACGUUCUCAAAAUAUUUCAAACUAAGAAGAUGAACUAUAUAAUAAAGCCUGGUACAAUUUAAGUAGUAACAAUUUAUAAAAUUUGUAUUUUUUUUUUAUUUUCUUCUUGUAGAACUAUUUCAAGUCCUCAUCUUUACACUCAUCAGUUUGCUAGUGGUUUUAAACCGAAUACAUAGAUUUUUAAUAAAUGCUGCACCAGCUAUUCGCAACUUCAUCCCCCUGUAAGACAACUUCUUAACCCUCCUCCACAUCAACCGCUACACCAAGCAGCAGUUCAACCCAUACCACCUGCAGUACACCGAGAAAUCAUCCUACCCUUGCCAGCACCACCACGUAUUUUAAGAAGAAGCACCAGACAGUCAAUACCACCCAACAGACUUAAUUUAUAAUUUAUUUAUGUGAUUAAUUUGUGUAUUUUAAGCUUCUCAAUGAUUGAAAUUAGUGUUUUUCAAACUGCUAUAUAACCAGUGUAAUUUUUAUGAUAAAAAGGUUGGUUCAAAUAUUAUGAAUUUUUUAUAUUUUUGUCAAAGGUUCAAAAUAAAUACUUUGUUAAAAUUUUAUGAAAAUUAAACGAGCCAAAUUAAUUUUAGUUAAGGUGUUGAGUACCACCUUAAUUAUAAAACUAUGAAUAAUACCACUGUAAGACUAGCUUUAUGAAUCAUAUUAAUGUUUAAAGUAUUUCUUACCUGUCCUUUAAAAUAUUCAGCACUAUCUGUAGCAUGUCUCUGCUGUACACACUAUUUGCUGUGUUGCACUGUUGCAUGAGUUCUCCUAAAAAUGUCUCACUCAUACUCAUGAGGCACCCUAUUUUAGUUUCCUUGCUUUAUGAAGCAAACUAUGAUAUAGUCCAGAAAUAUUAAACUGUGUAUUGCUAAAUGUGUUGAUGGGCUGGUAGCAAUACCAAUCCUUCAUUUCCUUAAACAAUUCGGGUUGUAUUGAACACUUAUAACAUGGGAAAAAGUGAAUUCCCACUGCUGGUAUAUGUCGAGAUACAAAAUUAGUUAAUUCAUUAAGAAAGUUACUUGUUGAAGCAUGAUCCAUCAUGAAGUUUUCUGGAUAGAAUGAAAGUAUAAUAAUUUUUCAUAAAUAUUAAAGGAUUUAUUCUUCUCUCUUGGUUAUGAUAAGAUUUAUUAAAUAAAGUUGGGUUGAUAAAUUUAAUUCAUUUAGACUUAACUGAGAUGCCAUUUUAGGAUUAAUUUAUAUAUGACUAAGCAUCCAUUGUGGUGACAAAGGAGAUAUUAGCAUUUCUAUGUUAUAUUAUCUUAAGAAGUUUAUUGAGGGUUUUUUUUUUUAUUGUUGAAGGUUUAAACAAAGUAGAGUGAUAAUUUUCUAUACAUAAGAAAAACCAACAUCCUGUGUUUGGCAUGAUUAUAAAUUAUGGUUAAAUUAAUACAUUUUUCUUUUAAUAUUUUUUUUUUAAUUUUUUGAUGUUGAAAAUAUUGAACAAGUCAGAUUUUGAAAUGAUGUUACUUCAAAGGGUGUUGUUUAUAUUAUACAUAUCUAGGAGUUUUGUAUAUGUUUACACAAUUCUGUUUUGUUAUGUUAAUUAGAAGUUUAACUCAAAUUAGAAGUAAUAUAUGUUUAUCUGUCUGAUGUUCUCCAUUAACAGUUAAUCAGUUUUGAAACUUGAUUGCAAUUAAGACGAUUUCUUAUACUCUACAUCUAAAGAUUGUUAUACAUGUUUAUCUAUCAACAGUUAUUUAGCUUGAGGCUUGAUUGUAAUUAAAAAUAUUUCGUAAUUACACAGUACAAUAACUUCUAAAGUAAGAAAAUAAAAAUAUUUAUGAAGCUUUAAAUCUAAGGAAUUAUCUGAUCUGAUAUGAUCUAUCAGAUUAAAAGAUAAAAUUUAUUUGGUCUUAAUAUAAUGUAAAAAUAUCAAAAAUGUUAUAGAGGUUAAUGGGGAACAUUAGACAGACCUUAGUAGUAUACUUUAGUAUAUGAAAUGUUUAUACUGUAAUAUAUAACAUGUAUAUAGUCUUUGUUUUCUUGUUAUUAAGCAAUAUAGUUGUGAUAAUUUAUUAAAUGUUAAUUGUUUUAAAGUUGGUGUUAAGUAAUUGUGAUAAUCAUCAAAGUUCAUAUUUCAAAUCAUGAUACUUGUACUCAUGAUAUGUUGCUAUAUAUUUCUUCAACUUUUCUAUUCAUUUACAAUCAUAUGAUAGUUUGAGAGAGGAAAAGACUUUUGUUUUAUCAUGUAUAUACUCUCUACAGGUUCCCUCUAUAAAGACAAAUUUUAGAAAGAAAGUAGUGCUUAUACUAUAGUUUUGGUGCUAUGUAUUCCAACAGAUUCCUCAUAUAGAAACAAAUUUUAUAAAGAAAGUAGUGCACUACAUUUUUACUUUAGUUUUGGUGCUAUGUAUUCUUACAUUGAUAAAAUAAGCAUUUACGGUUGUUAAUCAAACCAUGUUACCUUCAUAUAUUUUAUCUAUAUUUUGUUACUUUAUCUAGUGCAACAUUCCCUUCACUUAAUUUUUGCGUCAUACAUGUUUUCAUUUUAAACAUCGAAAUCAUGUGGGUUAUAUUUUUAUUUUAUAACAUAAUUUAUCUUCUAUCACAUUCCAUCAAAGUUCUUUUUUUUUUCUUUUUUCUUUUCUUUUUUUUUGUAGUCAUUUUAAUCAUAUCACUAUAUGUAAUCUUUUACAUGUCUCUUUUUAGAAAUCCAUUCUUGUUAAAAAAAACAUUUGUUUUAGAAGCUUUAUAAAAUUUUAUAUAUUAGAAACAAACUCAGGGUUGUAUGCUCAAAUACCGGUUUUAAUAUAAGUUUUUUAUAUACUAUACAUAUAUUGUAAUAUUUAUUUUUUAUGUUAAAAUACUCAAUCAGUUUUUGCAAUAAUGGGGAUCUAUUCAAAAUGUGAUGUAUACAUAAUGUAUAUAAGUUUUUGAUAUUAAAAAUAAUUUAUUUU